UCAUGGCACAAUGGUUAGGUGAGAUAUAUGAAUUUUGGGAAGGGGGGUGAGGUGGGGCCUUAAAGAGUGAAAAGCACCUUCUUUGACCUCUUUCCUCAAAGUCUGAAAGGCAUUCCUGAGCAGGUCUUUUUGUAUUCUUGUGUUUGGAAAGGUGCCUUUUAGGAUGGAGAAGGGCUUCCUACAACUGCUGGUCUGAAGCCAUCGCCAGGUCAGGCACACCUUAAGAAAACCGAGGACAAACGAGGAGGAAAAAAAUCACACUCAGCUACACAGCCAAACACAGCAAAAACAGCUACAAGGUCACUAGGAAGAAUGGGGACUGUAAGCAUCCCUAGGCCUAGAUGACAAGUCCCAUCCCUCCACCCAUACUGGGCAGCUCAUUGGCUUCCGGCUGGCUCUGGCUCCAGUAACUGAAGCCUGCGAGGGAGCAAAUUGGCCCGGAAGCACACAGGGGCAGUCCCAUCUCAGGGUCAGAGGGCAGACCCCUUCCAGAAUCAUCCCAGGCACACUCGCAAGGGAAGGGAUACCAACGCUACUGUUCUCAUCCUGCUUGGUCAGUCUAGCUUGGCCCUCUCUCGCUCCCUCUCUUCUUUCCUCCCUCCCUCCCUUCUUUCCAUCCGCUGGACCCACUAGAAGACAGGACAGCCACAGCCUGUGCCUCAACCUGUCCAACACUACCGCCAGAGGGCGCCCCCGCCCCUCUACAGUUUCCGCCCUUCGUUUAGGAAUGGUGGUGGUUCCCGGGUGAAGCUGGCAAUAUCUGUUGCCCGCACUUGUGCAGUUGGAGGGCGGGCCUCAACCCCGAGUUGCUGGGCUCCUGGAGCGUUGUGGGCGGUGGGGAGGGGGUGAAAGAGGAGGGUGUAACCCGGGAGGUGGGGAGGGUGAGCCUGCUUUACUCUCCUCGGUUCCCCUAGAUCAUGGGCCUCUGGAUCACAGCCGUGGCCGCCACUACGGCCAUGCCAGCCAGAUUUGAUGGCCAGAUGCAGACACUACAGACUGCAUACACUAUGGACCGAAAUCCAAAUGGAGCGGACUUUGAGUCGGAGUUCCCUCUUGUCCAGCAAGAAAAUGGAUGCAGAAUUGAAUACAAGAGAGGCUAAUGUCCGGGAGGAGACGAGAGCCCCAAGUAAGGGUCCUUGCUCCAUAUUUAUUAGGAUCAGAAGGCUUACAAACAUGAUGGACAUGCAGAAAGAGACAAUAAAACACUAACCAUUAAUUCAUGUGUGUGAGAGAAAGGGGGUUUCAAAGGUACGUGGUGUUAGGGGUUUGGGUCAAUACAAAUCAAAGUCCCGGCGCUGAGUAGAUGGCCGUUUACUGCAGCCACCAGGCACUGUGUCUGUUUAUCUUAACUUGUCUAGGGGCUAACCCUGCUGCCUCAGGGUUAACAAGGCAUUUUUCUUGCUAAUUAGCUCUGGACAUUUUUACCCUGCUGCAGGGGCUUUCUGCUUCUACCUGUUCACAGACACUUCCAUCCUGUGGAAGUGACUUUCCGCUCUAUGCUUUCUUCUACACUGGUGGCACUUUCUCCCUGUGCUGGCUUUCCACCCUAAGCCUUGUUAACCCAUUGGUGAAAGCUCAGGGAAUUCUUAAGCUUAUUCCUCACAUUAUUUGUUUCUGUAGAUCUUAAAAUUUUUUGUCUUUCAUUUCCUCCAUUCCUUCCUUUGAGUUUGGCUUUAAAUGUAGAACACUGAAAGCAGCUGUUUUUG
ensembl:lncRNA